ACUGCUCUCUCUCUCUCUCAAUAACAAUAAUGAUGAUGAUGAUGAUGAUAAUAAUAAUAAUAAUAAUAAUAAUAAUAAUAAUAAUAAUAAUAAUAAUAAUAAUGAUAAUAAUGAUAAUAAUGAUAAUAAUGAUAAUAAUGAUAAUAAUAAUAAUAAUAAUAAUAAUAAUAAUAAUAAUAAUAAUAAUAAUAAUAAUAAUAAUAAUAAUAAUAAUAAUAAUAAUAAUAAUAAUAAUAAUAAUAAUAAUAAUAAAAUAAAUGUCCUGAUGCAUUACCAGGCAAUGGCUUUCAUGUCUUCUGAUCUUACUUGAUUGGAAGUGUUAUCAUGUACAUUGUUUUGUCUUUGUAUAAAAGAUGCGCUUCAGCAAAUAUUCUGCUGAAUACUACAGAUUUGCUUGUUAGUUGGUUGACCAUAACCAGUUGAGCAUGUAUUUUAGUGGCUGAUCAUAUGUGCAACUCUGAUCACGAGGAGAAGUAGUGGGGGAGAAUCAUAGCCAUGUGUUCAGAGGGAUUCUUUGGGGUUUGAAUAAUUCAACGUCCUUAAACAGCCAUUAUUCAGGGACAUUUUGAGCGGGAUGGGUUACUCGACUAGAGGAAAAUUCUAACUGGGCCUCACCUGCAAGGUCAUGUGCUAUUUAUCUUAAAAUGUUGUGAUGCAUGUGCGUAGGGAACCCUUAUUAGAUGGGUUGUCAUGAUGGGCAUACUGGGCUUCGUAUAUUUUACCCUAGUGUCACUUUGAUGGCAUUCACUGCUCUCUCUCUCUCUCUCAAUAACAAUAAUGAUGAUGAUGAUGAUGAUAAUAAUAAUAAUAAUAAUAAUAAUAAUAAUAAUAAUAAUAAUAAUAAUAAUAAUAAUGAUAAUAAUGAUAAUAAUGAUAAUAAUGAUAAUAAUAAUAAUAAUAAUAAUAAUAAUAAUAAUAAUAAUAAUAAUAAUAAUAAUAAUAAUAAUAAUAAUAAUAAUAAUAAUAAUAAUAAAAAUAAUAAUAAUAAUUCCUAUCACAGCUAUGAUAAAAAAAAUAUUCAGACGCGCAUAACGAAAACAUCAAGAUUAACAAGUAUAUAUAACAUACAGAAGAUAGCACUACAAGACAUCGCAUACAUCCUACGUAAAACACUUUAAAUACAGUAAAAAUAAGAGAAUCACAAGACCACAGCACAUACCCAAGGCACACAGAGCUGUGCUUAGUGGCGCAGUGAAUGUACGUGAUAAAAAUAAGACUACUGAAUAAUAAUAAUAAUAAUAAUAAUAAUAAUAAUACUAAUAAUAAUAAUAAUAAUAAUAAUAAUAAUAAUAAUAAUAAUAAUAAUAAUCAUAAUAAUAUUAACAACAACAACAACAAAAUAUGCCCUGAUGCAGUACCAGGCAGUGACUCUCAUGACCUCUCUUCUGAACUGAUUGGAUGUGCUAUCAUGUACAUUGUUUUUAUCAUGGUAUAGAAUAUGGUCUACAACAAAUAUUCCACUGAAUAUCAUCGAUUUGCUUAUUAGUUGGCUGACCAUAAGAAUUAGAGCUUGUCCCUUAAUGUCUGAAGAUAUGUGCGUCUCAGAUCACGAGCAGAAGUAGGGGGCGGGCAUCAUAGCCAUGUGUUGAUAUGAAUCAUUUUGGGGUGUGUAUAAUUCAACUUUGGAAACACGGCUGUUUUGUUCAUCAUCCUCAAACAGCCCUUAUUCAGGAAUUUGUUGAGCGGGAUGGGCUCGUCGACCUGAAGAAAAUUCUAACUGAACCUCACCUUCAAGAGCAUGCGCUGUUUAGCUUGAUAUGAUAUCACCAUGUCACGCAUUUGUGGUUGUGAUGCAUGUGCUUGGUGUAUCCUCAUCAGACGGAUGGUCAUGAUGGGCUUCGUAUAAUUUACGCCAGUGUUAAUUUGAUGGCAUGCACUGCUCUUUUAGUCAAUAAUAACAUUUCAAAAUUUAGGUCCAAUGCAAGCAAUUUUCAGAAGAGGAUAAGUUGAUUACAUCGAUUCCUGCGAUUAGCUGUUACUUUAUUCAUGGACCCGAACGGAUGAAAGGCAAAGUCGAUCUCAGCGGAACUUGAGCUUAGAACAUAAGAGUAGGCGAAAUUCCACUAGGCAACUGGAAUCAAUAUUUCUUCUUAGAAUUAAGGGAGAACUGACUAAAUUUUACUCUAAGUUUCGCUCAAUAUUUUGUGAUAUCAAUGAUUCGGAUCUCAUAACUAUAUGACUCUUUUACGAUUGUCAGAUCGCCGCCUCAAAUAAAUACUCACACACAAAAACAGGCACCCCACCACACACACACAUAUAUAUAUAUACACACACACAUAUAAUAUUGAGGUCAUUUAAUGUAAGUAUCUUUUUCGCAACGAACCGACUUACAAAAUGGCAUCUUGGAAAAUCUCAGGACGAAAAUCAAUGAGUUUGUUUUCACCUUGCACUUGGCGUACUCUAUUCUUCAUCCCGCUCAGAUAAGUACUAUUAUAAUACGCAUCAUUAGAAUUUUCUAGAAUAAUUCUUCUCAUUAUAAUCCAAGAAACUGGAACAUGGCCUAUGAAAAAUGGGCGGCCAUAAUCGAUCAGAGCUGUUACGGAUUCUUUUCACUGGCAGAAGAAACACAAUUUCCAUUUUCUGCAUUAGAUUGAACGUAAAUUUAUAUUCAAAAUAAUUCCACUUCUACUAAUCUCGUUUUUUUCUCUACACAAUUAACGAAUAUGAGAAACACCAUAACGAGAUAUUUUCGUACAUCUUCCGUAGCUUAUGCUUUGGUUAAAUAUUUCCUGAUAUCUCUCUCCGGCUUCAUAGAGCGUUACUGUCGUAUAAGCAAUUCUCAAGAGUUUCGUACAUACAACUUUAAAAAAAAAACGAAAUAGUCUUAAACGAACAAUCAAUAUUUCACAAAUGAAUGCAAAUUUAAGUUCUCCAUAAUUGAUAACAGAAUUUAAAAAAAAAACCUCAUUUAUCGUAUAAUUUAUCGUGUCAUAAACUCAAAUUUUCAAUUCCUUAAAGAAAAAAUACUAAGCAAUAAUCAUUUUUCGCAACACGACUCUCUCACUUACAAUUAUGCAUAUAUAUAUAUACAUAUAUAUAUAUAUAUAUAUAUAUAUAUAUAUAUAUAUAUAUAUAUAUAUAUGUAUAUAGUUUAUGAGAGGUAAUGGUGUCAUUGAGACCCAAAGGUAUCAGGUAAUGUUGAGUAAAUGCUAUGGAUAGACCAUAGUUAAGUUCCGGGUUCAGUGAUUAUGCGAAUAAGUGGUUCAACGUCGGUCAAAUAUCAGCGUGUGUAUAUAUAUAUAUUUUUUGUAAUGAGAUUGAAAAAAACCCAAGGAUAUGUAGAUUUUAGAACAUUUAUAUAUAGAAUGUCUUACAACUGUUUCUAGGAUAUUUAUCAUAUCCCUUCAUCGGAGACGGUAUGUGCAGAUGCUUAAGCAAUAGUUAAUUUAGAUAAGAUACUAUUUCGUAUCUUAUCUAAAUUCGUAUCUAUAUGUAUAUAUAUAUAUAUAUAUAUAUAUAUAUAUAUAUGUGUGUGUGUGUGUGUGUGUGUGUGUGUGUGUGUGUGUGUGUGUGUGUGUGUGUGUGUGUGUGUGUGUGUGUAUGUGUGUGUGUAUAUAUAUAUAUAUACAAGUAAUGAGUAACUACAUGAGUAACUAUAUCGUUAGAAAAUAGAAGGCAAAAAAUACUGGUAUGCCAUUGAAUUUCGAAACUGGUACCAGGUUGACCAGCAUUUACUUGUUCUGACCCAGUAGAUAUAAAACAUUAUUAUUGUUAUUCACUGAUAUAUUUCCUAUCAUGUCUGUAAUAGAUUUGUGACUAUUCGGUGCUGUAGAAGUAUUUUUUGAAUUCUAAUUUUUCGCGAUAUAGGUACACAUGUAGUACCAUUGGAUAUAUAUGUACAUAUCUAAUAUCGUAAGCAUGUAUUUUAUUAAUUUGCCUAUACGGUUGAUAAUUCGCUUGCCACUCGUGAUGGCGUUUUAAUAAUAUCCUCCCUAUAUAUAUAUAUAUAUAUCUAAAGCGCCGGCUUUUGCCAAGAUUCUGUGUUAGUCAGAGUUCUUUCCAAAGUGACCUUUGCCGAAGUAGAUUUCGCAAAAGGUAGAAUGAGUAAUAUACUCAAACUAGUAAGUAAAAAACGUGCUUAGAACAGAUGCUAAAGUUUAGCAGCCUGUUAUCGUCCUAACUUUGCAUAGAGCAAAAGCAGGUAACAAAUAAAGAGAAUAACACGGAUCAAGUUCUAUGAAGAAAUAUCUUGCCUACUCAUAACCAGCAUGAUUUUCACAUGGGAAUUAUCUACAUCAAACAGCUUCUGCAUCAUCAAAGCGUUGAGUUAAAGCAAAUACUAAAGUAAUCAAAUGUGGCAGAAGUAUGGUCUGACUUUGUGAAGCCAAUUGACUAAGAGAAGCUAUGAAACAUAAGAUAAACUGCGAUUUUUGGACCUAAAUGUAAAACGUGGGAAAUAGCAUCACGUUUUCUUAAAUGUUAGAGUUCUAUCAAACAGCCGUGUGUACUUGUUUUAGAUGGUUGCUUCCGAGAGACUGUGUAUUUGAGUUUCCAUUAGGGUGUGCGUGCGAGUAUUUAUGCGUGUAUUUAUUUGCGGGCGCGACUUUCAUAUUGCUGUAAAUUUUGUUGUGUAUACAGUACAAAUGCUUUUGCGGGGUAUCAUAAUAAAAGCUCGUUCCAAUUGAUGCUCUUCUUCUCUGUCUUUUAUUUAUGUUUUACAAAGUUCCGUAAGCACAUCCGUCUCUGUUGCAAAAAUAACCACUAAGUAUUUAAUACGUACACACAAAGUGUAGAUAGUCAUUUAUAACAAGAAUCCUUUCUCCGACAGGUAUUAACAUUACACGUAAGUGAAUGCAAAAUAUGACCACAGAUCUAAGACUAAAACGGUGCAAUUUUCCUUCGUUAUAACGGCACAUUUCUGGACAGAGAACUAAGAAAGCAGCGACUACAUUCAGUGUAUUGAUUUAUGUUUCUAUACUUACUACUUUGUAUCUCUAAAACUCAAUCUUACCCAUCAUUGAUUUGGCAUAGAUUUCUUUCGAAGCCACAAAUAUUUAUAUCGAUCAGAAAAAGUAAAGCUUAUUCUCCAAAUCUUGCUUCAGAUUCUCCGAAAUAAUAUAAAAGCUGUCUAAGUGUUACUAGAUCAGUUCGACAGAUUACCCACACUGUGCAACGUAUACAUUUAGAAAAGAAAUUUUAAUUCUGAUGAGGUUCAUAUAUAUAAUUAUAUAUAUAUAUAUAUAUAUAUAUAUAUAUAUAUAUAUAUAUAUAUAUAUAUUAUAUAUAUAUUAGGGCUUAGUAAAAUAAAAUAAAUUACUUUGCCACAUACUGAACUUAGUAGAAAUAGCAGCCCAAAAAAAUUUUUCUUUGCAUUUCUACUACUUAAAGAAAAUUUCUCUCAGAUAAUGUUUACUCCAGACAGCUCACGAAGGUUUGGGGUAAAUACAGAAAAAUAUCACAAGUACAUAGAUCGUUUGAGUACGUCAACGUUUCAAGAUUAGCCAAAUAAAAUCAGCAUUUCUUUCGUCAGCUCAAAAUUUCUUAAUUUGGAUUUGGAAACACUAAAAAGAAGGAACUUUACCUAUCAGCGAACUUGUCGCUUCAGAUGUCGGUUCAUCUGAAGCGACAAGUUCGCUGAUAGGUAAAGUUCCUUCUUUUAGUGUUUCCAAAUCCAAAUUAAGAAAUUUAGAGCUGACGAAAGAAAUGCUGAUUUUAUUUGGCUAAUCUUGAAACGUUGACGUACUCAAACGAUCUAUGUACUUGUGAUAUUUUUCUGUAUUUACCCCCAAACCUUCGUGAGCUGUCUGGAGUAAACAUUAUCUGAGAGAAAUUUUCUUUAAGUAGUAGAAAUGCUAAGAAAAAUUUUUUGGGCUGCUAUUUCUACUAAGUUCAGUAUGUGGCAAAGUAAUUUAUUUUAUUUUACUAAGCCCUAAUUAUAUAAUGUAAUAUUUUGAAUUCGCCUUAAAUGGUCCUUUUACAUACUGAACACUUGGUGAAAUUGAUUAAUUAAUUACUUUUACCCUCAAUUGUUGAUAUAUAUAUAUAUAUAUAUAUAUAUAUAUAUAUAUAUAUAUAUAUACAUAUAUAUGCGUGUGUGUGUGUGUAUACACAUACAUGCAUAUGUAUAAGCAUACACACAUAUAUAGUUAUAUUUAUAUAAGAAAAUGGAGCAAAAUAUAUAGUGGAUACUAAUUUUAUUUGUAUGACACGAUAAAAACAUAGUAAAUCAUUUAUUACAGUUAAAAUUAGAAGGAAUAUAAAUUGAUGGAAUAAAGGCGUAAAAAGUGCCUACACAUGUUUCAAUCUGAUAAUUCGAUAAACAGAAUUUCAGAUCCGCAGGAUUCAGACCAUGUUAAGAGUUUCAGAUUGAAAAAAUAGGUUAAACAAAUAUCAUUAGGGCUGUUUACUGCAAAAAGCUACUGCUUAUAUAUAUUUUCAAAGGAAUUCGAAUUGGUUGGGAAAGCAUACAGAAUAAGAUGGAUGAGGGCUGCAUAUUGAUAUAUCCAUGUAAUGUAAACAUUAAGUUAAUGAUAAAGAUGGGUAACAGGGGAGGCAUUAGCAAGAAAAAUCAUGCUAAAAGACUAUGAAGGAUUCGAAAAUUAGACGGUUAUAGGUAUUGGGGGUGAUUAUGUAAUCAAUUAAAAAGGGUAUAGUCCUUUAGUAGUAGUGAAGGACAUUAUGUAAUUAGGAUAAGAUGUUGUGAAGACGUUAAGUAUAUAGAAUAAAUUAAAGAAAAGGUGAAGGGUAAGAAAAUACAAAUAUAGAGGGGAAUAUAUUUUAUCUAGGGGGGAAAAUAACGAAAUGGAAAUAAAAUAGAGGGAUAUUAUUUAAUUGCAUAUAAAUAUAACUAUAAAUUAGAGUGUUUGUCACUAUAUAUUGCGAAAAUUCUCUCAAUAUAUCAUCGAUAAGAGUAGUUUCCCUAAAGAGAAACUUAUAUCCUCCAAUAUAAUAUAAUUAUAUAUAGAUGUUUAUUUACUUUGCCGGUUUCACUCUUUGGAAAAAGAUUAUCAAAAGUAACAUGUAGACGUAUGUUUGCGUUAAUUAUUGGUUGUUACAAAUUGCUACAUUACAUAUAUACACUCGUUGGUAACAAGGACAUGUUAAGGACAUAAAAAAGUUUAACAAGUUCCUUAAAAUAUUGGGCACAAAAGAUAUGAUUAUUUAUGUAGUAAUCUUUUGUGCCCAAUAUUUUAAGGAACUUGUUAAACUUUUGUAUGUCCUUAACAUGUCCUUGUUACCAAAGACUGUAUAUAUGUAAUGUAGCAAUUUGUAACAACCAAUAAUUAACGCAACCAAACUUCUACAUGUUAAUUUUGACAAUAUUUUUCCAAAGACUGAAACCGGUAAAAUAGAUAAACAUCUUUUAAAUCUGCAUUUUCAAACCUUCUUUCGUAUAUAUAUAUAUAUAUAUAUAUAUAUAUAUAUAUAUAUAUAUAUAUAUAUAUAUAUAUAUAUAUAUUCAUAUAUACAUAUAUAUAUUCAUAUAGAGAGAUAUACAUACAUAUUUACAUACAUACCUACAUACCCACUUUCAUAAAUGUAUAUAUAUAUAUAUAUAUAUAUAUAUAUAUAUAUAUAUAUAUAUAUUAUAUUAAAUUAGAGACAAAACCACUAUUAGGCAAAUCAAACAAUGAAAAACUUAAUCCAAUACAUAAGAUUAUUUAAUUUAUAUUAUUUAAAUAUAUAACAAAAUUAUUAAAAAAAUAUAAUUAAUAUCACACUACGAUCGUUUCAUGCCUGCUAACAUCUUCAAAUUUUUGAGUCGCAGUCAUUCAUCAGGUGGUUUAAAUAUCUGCUAACAUCUUCAAAUUUUUGAGUCGCAGUCAUUCAUCACGUGGUUUAAAUAUAUUUACGUUGAGCUGGUAAUAUAUAUAUGCACACACAGAAUUAAAAAGGAUUGUAAUAAUAGAUUACGAAGGAUAUAUCAUAAACAAUUCAUGAUUUAUGAAUAUAUUAAGGGCUAAAUAUGUAUUCAUAAAUUACGUACAAAAAGAUUGUUUAUAAUUAUGAAUAAAUCACAAUUACAAUGCAGAGCGUUACAGAAACCCUUACAUGUUUAGAAAUAGCAGUAAAAACCACUAUAGACCACCAUUAAACAAGAAACUCUUUCCGUUAUAAUUGUAAUUUAGUCAUAAUUAUAAACACUCUUCUUUUAAAUAUAUAUAUAUAUAUAUAUAUAUAUAUAUAUAUAUAUGUGUGUGUGUGUGUGUGUGUGUGUGUGUGUGUCUGUGUGUAUGUAUAUAUAUGUAUAUGUAUAUAUAAUAAUUCUAAUAAUAAUAAUAAUAAUAAUAAAAAGAAAAAUAUGUCCACAAAAGAACGAGACCGUGGUAUUAGAGAAAUAGAAGAUUGUUUAUAUAUGUUAUAAAUUUGAAUAAACAGUCAAAUUUUGUAAUUAUAGUACUCAGAGUUUCGUAUGCCGGAUUGAAGAGCUACGAUAUAAUCUCGUCGGCUAUUAAUGGCAACAGAAGCUACAAAAAACCGUUAAAUAUAAGAGAAGUAAUUCUAAAAAGUGGAAAAAGAAAAGAGAAACAGGAUUUAAACGUUAUUAUUAAUUUAUAUAAAAUAUACAUAUAAAAUAUACACACUACCAUAUCCUCCCAAUACUUCGACAUAAACCGCCCGGGUUUACAAGGUUUACAUACGUGCACGUACAAAGAUAUAUGUAUGUACGUAGUCAUAUAUACACACAUAUCCACACACGUGUGUGUAUAUUUAUACUCACGCAUACAUAUAUAUAUAUAUAUAUAUAUAUAUAUAUAUAUAUAUAUAUAUAUAUAUAUAUAUAUAUAUAUAUAUAUAUAUAUAUAUAUAUAUAUGUAUCCAAGGCUGAUUCUAAGUAUCAAUAAUUGUAUUUAGUAGCAUCUCGCUUUCUUCCUACUUAAAUAAAAUGUAUUUAUAAUGAAUUGCUUUAUGCAAGAACAUUCCUUUAUGACACAGCAAAAAGUACGUAUUUAAAUGCGCACGCACAUUUUGUUUGCGUAUAUAACAAAUACUGAGUGUGAAAUGUUCUGAAAGUGUUUCACGUUUAUGAUUUUUAUGGUGUUGUUGAGGGAUAGGAAAUGAAUUUGAUAAUCAGUUUAUGAUGUAUGCAAAUUGGAUCAUUUACUUUUUUUUCAGUCAUUAGACUGUAGCCGUGCUUGGACACAUCCUUGAACAAUUCUAGUUAAACAGCUGAACUCCAGUACAUUUUUCAAAAGCCUGGUACAUAUUUGAUCGACCGCUUUGCCGAUCUGCUAAGAGCAGAAAUCUAACCACAAGACAGACGAUUCUCGAGUGUCAGUGGGGAAAGAACACGGUCACAAAGACACAUGGAUACGUUCGAUUUGCUUCUUUGAGUUUCUGUCUGCCUAAUUCACUAAGAAGGCUUUCGUCGAUUCAAGGCUAUAGGAAAUGUAGAGGACACUUGCCCAAAGUACCAGACAAUGGGACUAAACGCAGAACUAUGUGGUUGGAAAGUGAAUUUCUUUCGAGGAGAUGAAUCAAUCUAAUCUUCCCAAAAGCAAAUUUAAAUAUAACAUUGGUUGAUUUAUAUCCCCGAUGAUCCACUAGCGGAAAAUAUAUAAUUAAGUAAAUGUUAAUUAUCAGAUGAUAUCAAGUAUUUAACAGAUAGCCAAUAAUGAAUUACCCUGAGAUGAUUAUAACAGCAAUCAGGUUUCCAUCAAAUCAUACACUACAUGCUCAGACAAUAGAGACUUAGAUAAUAUAAGUCGGAAUAUUGAAUCAGACUGUAUUAUCUAGGAAAUUAUGAUGAUGGAAUAUUAUUAUCAAGGAUGGUAUUAGGUAGAAUAUAUGACCAAAGAAAUUAUAUUUACGAUUUCAUUAGUCACAGAGACAGUGAAUUCGAAUAAGGUGCUGUAAGGGUAAUCUACAGUAAAAUCCGCCAGUGCGACAAGCGUAGAUGGUAUUACUCUUACAUUAUAAUACGAUACAAAGUAAGUAUUUGAAAGAGAAUAUUUUGCCAUGUGAUAUUAUUUCACCAGAAAGAAUGAUUGUAGAAUAAUUUGUUCAUAAAAUGAAAAUCCGUUGCGCCGAUUUUCACCGAUAACUGUAAUAUAAGUAGAUUUCUCUGCGCGCUGACCGGAAGAGUAAUUCAUAAUUGUCAAAUAUAAUAAUAGGUGUAUAAAGUAUACUGCUAUAUAUUAGAAUGAUCUUGCUUCAUAUAUCUAUAUUCAAUUUUUAGCACGAUAACGUCAUGCGAAUUCUUUAUGCAGUAUUUAUUGACUUGAUAAUAUCGCAUGCAAUGCUAUAUAUAUAUAUAUGUUAACGUAAGAUGAAUAGUUUCACUCAUUAUAAAAAUGACAAUAUGAGAGAGAUUAACUCGUUGCUAACAUAAAAAGACCUGAUGCAUUUCACUAUCAAAAAGAGUUGGGAUAGUUUAUAUUCGAAGAAGCUAAACAGUUUGCUUUUGUAAUACGACGGAUUUUGAGUGAGACAUUUUAAAAUAUAUAGAACGUUACAUUAAAGAUAUUCAUACUAUUUAAAGUAUGAUGUCAUCUUAAAGCAACAUAGUGUUGGAUUCCUGUUUGCUACAGCCUUCCAGUGAAUAUAAAUACCCAUGUGACUUACAAUGAGUUUCCCCGAGGGAAGUAACUCGUGUGCAUAGAAACCACACAAGUAUUUCUACACGGUCGCUCAAUAGAAUUUAUUUUAAUUAUGUCCUGGUGUGUUAAAAGACGAAAAUCGAGAUUGAAAAAGAUAGAUGACGAUAUAUAUCGUCAUGCUGGACCGUUGAACUCUGCGCAUUAUAUUCUCUCAUCAUUUUCUCCUCUUAAUCCCUUCUGUAUAAGACCUAUGUUCGAAACGUAAAAGACGUUUCCGUUUGCCUCGAGCGUUAAACUAUACUUGUCCGCGUCUUUUGUUUUCUGUAUAUAUAUAUAUAUAUAUAUAUAUAUAUAUAUAUAUAUAUAUAUAUAUAUAUAUAUAUAUAUAUAUAUAUAUUAUAAGUAUAAAUAUAUUUAUAUUAGCAUUGAACAGGUAUACAUGGAGGCACAACUUGGUCCUUAAGGUUAUCAUCAAUGCUAUAAAGAACCAAAUUCAUGUCAACAACACUGAGGAAAAACCGUUGAAGGUACCAUCAAGAGAUUUCAUUACCUUCGUGCGACCAGAUCAGCGGAUCCGUUUCAAGAAGAAGAUCAAGAAACUUCCUGAGAGAAAUGAAAAGUGGAACGGCUAUUGGGAGGAAACUGCAGAUUUAUCUGGGUGCCAGGUUUUCUUUCCAAUCCCAGUUACGAAAAAAACAGAUAUUUUGAUGUGGUGUGAAAGAAAGAAAGUUGUAAAUAUAGUCGAGCUAACGGUUCCUCAUGAAGAUAAUAUGGACGCCGCUCGGGCUCGAAAAUUGAACCGUUAUGUAAACCUCAUCGAGGAAAGGAAUGUGAAGACACAGGCUGGAAAACUGAACAUUUUCUAUCGAAGUCGGUUGUAGAGGGUUUGUUGGACACAGCGUGAGACGACUGGUGUUAUCGCUAGGCCUAAGUCAUCGUAAAGUCAAUACCACCAUGACUGAUAUCCAAUCUACAGUGGAGAAGGCUAGACACUGGAUUUAGUUAAAAAGAGACGAUGAGCGAUGGCUAGAAGGAUAUUGACUUUAACUUCAUAACCAGCUGAUGUAGCAAACGGGGCCUCAUAUCAAUGAGGGGGCCGGUGCGCAUUGAUGCCGUCGAGAGAUAGGCCCCGAAACGGCGCGCAUUCUCUCCUGAUGACCCGAUACACAUGCUGGCUUCCGGUAUAGGGAGUUUUUGACUGGUACCACUUGCAUGUGCAAGUUGUUUGCAAGACAUCAUGUGUAUAUCUGUGCGUUUCUGUAUGUCUGUGUGUGUGUGUGUGUAUGUUUUGAAGGGAUAGAUAAAAUAACUAAUCUCUGUGAUGCCUGAUCUUUGCAGAUCCAUUGUGUAAGCCCCCGCCAAAACACUAUCAUAUGUUGUGCCGAGCGAUGCAUGGGUCAUGUCGGUUAUGACGUACAACUGAGAUAUGAUUUCCAAGGUGGGUGUCACAGAGGAAAAAAAAUUAAAGCAGUGAGUGAAAAUGAUAGAAGCACAGUUUAAGGUCUCAGAUAUAGACAUUCUGAUUGUUACGCCUAGAGAGGUAUGGGGCGUUACAAGUGGAGGAAAGGAUAGUGCUACUGACUACUAAAUUAUGUAGGUUGCAACGUCACAUGAUUGACAGAGUUGGGGAUUAGUAAGAAUUGGGUGUGCGGUAACGUGGACAGUAAAAUGUUGGUCUAACGGAGACGUAUAUUUGUGGGUUACUAAAGAAAAAGGUAUCUUCUUAUGUGUGAGGCAUACAUGUGAGAGAAAGCAGAAGGACGGUAGACUUGGUGAGGUCAAAGAGAGAAUGACUUCAUAUUGUGUAAGAAAUUUCCCUGUAGAAUGAGGAGACAAAACAGACAUUUUGACUUGACUGGGACACAAAAUUGAGGCCUCGUCCGUGCCCGCAAUGUAGACGGACGAAACGAGAGUAAAGAACUGUUCGUUUGGUGGGGGGGGGGGGAGCUUGGGGGAGGAAAAAUAGUAGUAGAAGUCGGAAGAUUUAUUGAAAGAUAUGGUGGCAAGAAUGUUGUUAAAGUGAAAUAUCCAGAAUGGGAGCUUCCAAGAAAGAGAGGAAUUCGAGAGAAUCUGAUGAAAGUUUUAAAUCACUUCCGUGAGAUAGAAAUGGCGCCGAUACGGUCCUAAAUGCAGCGGCUAUGUUCUUGAAACCGGAAUGGCUAAGUAGUGAGAAUGUUUUGCCCUGGGACGUUACAAACAAGUAAAAAGAAAAAAAGUCAGAACAAUAUGUAAACCUGUUACCAUAGCAGUGAAACAUUCUUCUUCUUCUUCUUCUUCUUCUUCUUCUUCUUCUUCUUCUUCUUCUUCUUCUUCUUCUUCUUCUUCUUCUACUUCUUCUUCUUCUUCUUCUUCUUCUUCUUCUUCUUCUUCUUCUUCUUCUUCUUCUUCUUCUCACCACGUUCAUCAUCGUCGUCGUCGUCAUCAUGAUCAUGAUCAUGAUCAUGAUCAUGAUCAUCAUCAUCUUCUUCUUCUUCUUCUUCUUCUUCUUCUUCUUCACCACCACAACUUACCUUCUAUACAAUUAUAGAUGUUUUUGCACAGCUAUGUAAUUAUAAGUACAAGAACACAUGCGAAAAUACAAAUGUUAAAAUUUACAGCCACAUCCACACACGCACACAUGCAUAUACACUUAUGUACAUGCAUACUGCCUUACUUACAUACCUAAAUACAUACAUACAUACUUACAAAUAUACAUACAUACAGAUAAAUGUUUACGUAUAAACAUUACAUAUUGUUUCAGACACUCUACAAUGCAGUCAAUCGCUUUAAGCGGAAAUUAAACUGACAAGAAUAUAAGUUAAACUUUUGACCUCACCAAGUUAACCUUCUGGCAAUAGCCUUUAAGGUUAUCGCAAAUUUCGUUCACUGUGAUGUCUUAAAUUCGUUAAUGGUUAAAACUCAUUUAUAUGUUCACAGCCAAAUGUAAUUUCGUUUGCCGAGCUACGUAAAAGAAAACAUCCUUCUUACAACGGUGACCAUUUGGAAUUCCCUUCCAAAAUAAUUCUUUGAGGUAGAUGCCUAUAGCAGUAGUCCAAGGUUAAUGUUAACACCAUUAAUGUGAAAGGUCACGAAAAGACUUGAGCACGUGACAUUCCAGCGAAUCCAUCACCUAAUCACAUGUACUUAUGUACGUUUAAUUAAAUAAAUAUAUGGGUGUGUCCCUGUGUGCAUUUUUAUGUAGGUGCAUAUAUAUAUAUAUAUAUAUAUAUAUAUAUAUAUAUUUUUUUUUUAGAAGAAAUGAGGUAGUCAGAAAUCCGGAUGGUCUUAUAUUUACAGAUAUUUAUUACUAUGUUACAUGUUUUUAUACAUCAUAUAUCAUAUAUCAGCGAUUUCGUCCAUUCUCGUGGAGUCUUCAAAUUGAUCAAUUGGAAGACUCCACGAGAAUGGACAAAAGCGCUAAUAUAUGAUAUAUGAUGUAUAAAAACAUGUAACAUAGUAAUAAAUAUCUGUAAAUAUAAAAACAUCCGGAUUUCUGAGUACCUCAUUUCUUCUAAUAUAUGAUACCUGUACAUCAUCUCUAUAUCUAAUAUAUAUAUAUAUAUAAAUAUAUAUAUAUAUACAUUUGUGUAUGCGCUGUGUGUAUGAAAAAGAAAGUACAACUGUAUUUUUUAAAAUAGCACAUCAUACGCGCAUGCUAAUUACUACGAGACACUUGUGGGAGAGCUGAUAUAACUGAUAGGUAAAUGCUUAAAAUUAUAUUUGCAGGUGUGUUGGGGCAAUAUAAAGCUACAUAAAUUAAUGAUCCACACACAAAGAAACAACAAACAUAUUAACACCGAAUGUGUCUACAAAUGCAUCCCUCUCUUAUUCAUUCGAACGUAUAAAAUGUUCAGUUCAGAUACUUUUCCUGACAAAAGUUUUCUUAUUAAUUAGUGGGUAAAAAAUACAUCACACGGGCUGCGAAUCGCGUCAGUGAAGUUUUAGAAAAGUGUUCUGGUGUGUAAGGUUGUUUUGAUCCUGGCUGCGGUCGGUACUUUGUGUAAGUUAAAAACUGAUUCACAAAGUUUACAAAAUAACAGCUGUUCAAAAUGAUUACGAACAAAUGAACACUGACGCUGAGAGUUCGUGGCUGACAGCCCGCUGCUGCCGAUCAGAGUGCGGCUUGGUUGAAUUACACAGAAAGGAGAACAUUUUUCCAAGAGAUGAAAGCCACAAAAAUACACACUCACAAACUCACAUAUUCUUAUAUACAUAUAGAUAGAUAGAUAGAUAGAUAGAUAGAUAGAUAGAUAGAUAGAUAUAUAGAUAGAUAGAUAGAUAGAUAGAUAGAUAGAUAGAAAGAUAGAGAAAUAGAUAGAUAGUUAUAUAUAUAUAUCAUCCGAAAUUGCUAAGAUGAUCCGGUUCCUGACUGAAGAUUAGAGGCUUCGAAUGACCUGUCUGUUUUUUGUGUCGUCUUUUUGUGUGGUUUGCGGUUAUAAUUUUUAUACAUAUAUAUAUCUCGUCUCUUUUUAAAAGAUAGAUAGAUAGAUAGAUAGAUAGAUAGAUAGAUAGAUAGAUAGAUAGAUAGAUAGAUAAUUAGAUAGAUGGUAAUACCAAAACGAAAGCUAUUGAACGACUUUUUAUGUCAUCACUACUGUGAAGAAAUAAUACAGGGUGUUUCAAAGAAUUUGAUAUCGUUUGAGAUGUAAAUGAAACUAGACAGGUUUAAUGUUGAGCAAAAUAUGAUUUAUUCCUCCAAAUUUUAAUGAGAAAUUCAAAGGUAUGUGAAUUUCAUGAACGACUUCGCAAAUGCUCAACUGUGACAUGGAAAUUUUCUGCACCCCAAAUGCGAACAUUAUGCUUAUUGACUUUGCUAUUCGUAUGAAAUGUGGCCUCAUCACUGAAAACAAGACGUUCCUUGAACUCGGCUUCGUAAAGUGUCUCUUGCAUAUCAACAUAGAAAUUUUUGCGCUUUCGCUUGUCAUCUGUCAUUAAGGCCUGAAGGAGCUGCAGCUUGUAGAGUUUCAUUAGCAAGCGUUUCCUCAGGAAGCGCAAAAUGUCUUUGGAGAAAUCUGGAUUUCCAGACUUGUUCUUCUUGUGGACUUCUUGGGGCUUCACAAGAGUUUAUGGAGAACCCGCUCAACCUUGUCUUCCGAUGUUAAUGGUUGCCCAGAUAAUUUUGGCCUGCACAAAUAGCCUUCCUUUUUUAAUUUUAUUGUGGCAUGUCCAAAUCUGCAUUGCAGUUGGUGACUUUUUAGAGAACUCUCUCACAAAUGUACGUUGGACAGUGUUGUUCGACUGUAUUCAAGCUUACUCCAAAUCACAAAACGCUUUUUUACCCCCAGUGAAUGCCAUGCCUAUAUCUGGAAACAUAAAUAUAUCAAACACUAAACAUAAGAUUUUGACACAUGCUUUUCAAGUAUAAACAAGAACUGGCAAAGUUAUUAGAUUUCGAAAUGAUAUCAACAUUUUUUUUGAAACAACCUGUAUAAUAUUCUCUAGGAAUACUAAUUAAAUAUCCACUUACUUAAUUUAUCUAGAAGUUGCUUUCUCUGGAGAAUCACACACAGACACACACACACACUCACACACACACAUACACUAAACACACACAUUCAAAUAUAAAUUAGAAGGAGCACUAAUGUUAUAGUCAUUGACCACGCUUACUGAUUCCAAACAAGCACUUGCUCGCCGUUAGGCUGCAAAUUAGAGCGAUUGGAAUGAGUCCCUCGAAGCACCGGGUGUUGAAACAAAUUAAAGUCGUCGACAGGCGAGACGACUCUACCUAUUCAGGGGAGAUGGAUAUCAACUAUUGGCCUUUGUGUGGCAUAUCAACAUCACGUACAUAAACCGAAUUGGAGGCGGACAGAAUCGCCACUAUAUGACUAUAUGAAAAUAGUGUACAAACAAUUUGCUGGUAUGCCACAGCGAUGACGUAAGAAUAAAUUCAAAUAUGAUUUACACAGUUCGCGCCUCUUGCUAGCGAUGUAUUGUGUAUAAAGGAUGGAGAUAUUGUACCGAAAACCAGGAGGCGGAGAAUACGCUUGGGGUUAAACCAGUAGUAACAUUCACCCGCUACUUUCAUGUGGCAACUCGCUUUACUGCUUAAUACAUGAUAUUACGCUAUCUCCGCUUGAGAUUUUAUAACUAGUUAUUUUGCCUGUUGCAAAUCAACGACCGAUGAUCACUUUGUUUAUAAUAUACGUUGGUAGAAGCGGAUGUAAGCUAUCACUCUACUGCGUAGUUGCGUGCGGGUGAGAACGAGGCAAAUAGCUCGAAACUGGGCCAGUCCCGCGAUCCUGUAAGCUGUUAGCAAUGUAUUGUAUAUAAAGGGUGCAGAGCUUGACCGAAAAAUAGCUGGCGGAGAAACCGUCUGGAGUUAAACGAGUAGUAACAUUCAACUGCCAUUUCGAUGUAGCUAUUCGCUUUACUAUAUAUAUAUAGGGGUUAAAUGAAGGAUACUCUAAUGAAAUACAUUUCUUGUUUCCUGUUUCCUUUUCAUUUAUAUAAUUUCCUAUACCUAUAAUUAUGUAUAUGCAUACAUAUAUACAUACAUACAUAUAUAUAUAUAUAUAUAUAUAUAUAUAUAUAUAUAUAUAUAUAUAUAUAUAUAUAUAUGGCUACUUAUCACAUAGAAGUUGCUGUGUGGUAAGUAGCUUGCUUAACAAUCACAUGGUUCCAGGUUCAGUCCCACUGCGUGGCAGCUUGGGCAAGUGCCUUCUACUAUAGAUUUGGGCCGACCAAAGCCUUGUGAAUGGAUUUGGUAGACGGAAACUGAAAUAAGCCUGCCGUAUAUAAGUAUAUUUAUAUAUAUAUGUGUGUGUGUGUGUGUGAUUGUGUCUGUGCUCGUCCCCCCAACAUCGCUUGACAACCGAUGCUGGUGCGUUUAAGUCCCCGUACAUUAGCGGUUCGGUAAAAGAGAACGAUAGAAUAAGUACUGGGCUUACAAAGAAUAAGUCUUGGGGUCGAUUUGUUCGACUAAAGGCGGUGCUCUAGCAUUGCCGGAGUCAAAUGACUGAAAAAAUUAAAAGAUUGAAAGAGUAAAGAGUAUAGACGCACACACGCACGCACGCACACGCGCAUACACAUAUACAUAUAUAUAUAUACUUAUAAAGGUAUAUGUGUUCACAUAUCUAUUUAUAUGUGUCUACAUAUGUAUGAUAAUAUAUGUAUGCACGUUAAUAUAUGAGCAAAUUUGACUGUUUUAUACAGGAAGUAAAAAAUCUCAUUAAACUUUGCACUGUCUAGAAGAGAAUGGAAAAGAUGGAAAAAUAUAACCUAGUACUGGUAAUCUAGAGCAAUUUCUGUAAGCAAAUUGGGCACUCCUAGUCCUAUGAUAGUAUAUAUACCUACAUACAUCUACGCUGACACUGCAAUAUUACAGCUACUCACACGUUUUACAUUGGUAAUUUAUUCAUCGAACAUAGUAUGAUUGAAAGAUUUCUUUACCGUAUUUUAAUCUAUAUAAAAAUUUGCGUCUAUAUAUAUGCAUGUAUAUAUAUAUAUAUAUAUAUAUAUAUAUAUAUACAUAAUUGUGCGUGUGUGUGUGUGUACGUGCGCUUAAGUGUGUAUAUAUAUGUACGUAUAUCUCUAUGUAUGUAUAUGUACGUAUGUUUAUAGAUAUAUAUUCAUUAAUACAUUUAUAUGUACAUAUGUAUAUGUAUAUAUAUGUGUGUGUAUGUAUACACACACACACAGGUAUAUAUAUAUAUAUAUAUAUAUAUACAGCACACACACACACACACACAUAUAUAUAUAUAUAUAUAUAUAUAUAUAUAUAUAUAUAUAUAUGUUGUGUGUGUUUGUAUAUGUGUGUGUAUGAACACUCAUUCUCAUUGUUCGAUAUUUAAGUAAAUACAUACAUACAUACACAUACACACAUAUAUAUAUAUAUGUAUAUUUAUAUGAAUAUUUACAUGUGUAUAGAUGAGUAUGUAUAUGUAUGAAGGCACAUAUAUGUGGGCGUAUACAUACACAAUGCACACACGCACAUAUACGGGAAUGACUCUGCAUGUGUCUGUGCUUAUGUAUAUUUGAGCGUUGUAGACAGUCUUUAGAUAUAUGCAACAUAGAUUAAUUAAACUGAAAGCAAUCGAAGUAUUUGAUCAUAUUCAAUCAAUUCCGGACAUAAAGCAAAGGGGAACAAUGGUAUAUUAUGGUGGCAUUGAUGAAGAUGAUUACGGAUCCUUUGUUCUUUUAUCCGAUAUAUCGAAACUGCCCCUUGAUAUAUGAAUGUGUGCGUGUUUAUAUAUACUCUUAUAUAUAUAUCUAUAUAUAUAGACAUACAUACAUUAUUAUAUAUAUAAAUAUAUAUAUAUAUAUAUAUAUAUAAUUAUGUAUGCAUUAUGCAUAUAUAUAUAUGUGUGUGUAUGUGUGUGUAUACAUACAUAUAAAUAUAUAUAUAUAUAUAUAUAUAUAUAUAUAUAUAUAUAUAUAUAUAUAUGUAGAUAUGUUUGUAUGUAUGUUUAUGUAUACGUCAUACGUAUGCAAAUAUAUACUCUCAUCCUCUUUCCGGCGUUAAGUACCCAGGUCGAUUCGAUCAAUAUUGCUUCUCUUAACGGUUUUUCUUCUUUAUUGUAUUCAUAUAAGAAACCGUUCUUUUCGGUCAUUAGGUUUAUAAGAGUUAGUCAAUGUCAGAAUUAUUAAUUUCUUUCGCUGUUUGUCUUUCCUUCAUCUUAUGCUUUUCUUCCCAAUAUUCAAUCAAUUUUAUUGGGCCUACUUUUACAUUCAUCUCGUUUUAGUUGAAGUUAUACGUAUUCAUUUCAUAAUCAUACGUACAUACAUACAUAUCUAUCUAUAUAUUUAUAUAUGUAUAUAUAUAUAUAUAUAUAUAUAUAUAUAUGUGUGUGUGUGUGUGUGUGUGUAUAUAUAGUAUAUAUAUAUAUAUGUACAUAUAUAUAUACGUACAUACAUACAUAUAAUAUACAUACAUACAUACAUAUAUAUGUAUACACAUACAUACAUACAUAUAUAUAUAUAUAUAUAUAUAUAUAUAUAUAUAUAAACAUACAAUUUAAGCUUGUAGAUAUUCUCAAACAUUUUGGUUUCUCAUCAAGAACAUUGGAAAUACAUUUGUAUUAACGUCAUAAAAUUUUAACUAUCAAGAAAAUACGAGUGAAGAAUCAGAAAAUUUUGAUCGAUAUAUUUGCUGAAAAUAUGUGGGUGCAAUGUAUGUGUUUCUGGCGUUGUUGUAGAAUCGGAACAUGUUGGAGUAUAUUGUUACUACGAGUUUUCAGCUUGGACAAUGAUGUUAAUUGCUAAACAAGACAUUAAGGGGCAUCCAACAAACUGAAAACAUUCAAUGGUCAACAAUGAUGUUGAAAUUUAACUAAUAUAUUCAACAUAUGUGAAUUCCCAUGUUAUGUUGAGAAAUCAAACAAUAGCUAUUUUCUAGGUUUAUUUUCCGAAUCUUUUAGGAAACUUGAUCAUGACUUUACAGGGAUGGCUAUACAACAUUCUAGUUCGACGUAUUAAAUACGGAAAGAUUGAAGCAUUAACAUCUACUUCAAUGCUUCCUUCAACGUGUAGCUUGUUGUGCCUUAAAAUAUUAGCUGUGUUAUGCAUAGGUUAUAGCCAUUGGCAUUAGCAAUUCUUAUACUUAAUAUUUGCAUUUCUAUGAUGAAAAGAAAAUAUGGCUUAUUAUGUGCUGAAUUUCCACAGUAUAUAUCAUAAACCAAGGGUAUUGCUCCAGCAUGACCGCAGCCACAUAACUGAAACGAGUGAAAGAAUAUAUAUUCGUUUCACUAUUUUGAGAGAAAUGGAUUUUCCUUUAAGUGAAUGAUAGCAUUAUAUUGCAAUAGUUUAAACUUUGAAUCCGAGGGUAUGUAGAAUAGCUUGCUGAAAUCAUUAUGUGUCCAAAUGUAUUUUUGGAGCAAAUUUUAUGACUUCCUGAUACAAUGCUGUGUGUUGUUUCAGGAAACACUCCAUGUAAAGAAUAUUCGUUCACCGUCUCACAAGAAUUGCAUUUAUUCCGUAGAGUUUAUGAAUUAGAAAUGGCUGGUUUCUCAGUGGCAUAUGUAACUGAAUAAGAUGUUUAAUUUCAGCCAUGUGUGUCAUGUUACAUCUAGUUUACUAAAACAAUGGACAUAAAAAUACUGGUUUGUAUUUUCAACUGAGAUGAAAUUUUGUACAGUAUAGUCAUUUGUGCCUCUGUGGUGAUUAGGCGUGUGUGGUAUUGCUACUUUUACUCAAUGCAAAAUACUACUAAUGGUCUACUUAGUGAAAAGUAAACCAUUGAUAGUAUUUAACAAUAGUUUUGCUUUUUGCUGAUUUACUUUCACUUUUCGAUGUUGUUGUUGUUGCUAUUAUUAUUAUUAUUAUUAUUAUUAUUAUUAUUAUUAUUAUUCUGUCCCAAUGCCUGGAAUUGAAAUCGGAAUAUUGGGGUUAGUACCUCGCGCUCUUAAACAUUACGCCAUAUGCCCAUGGGCAUGUUUUGUGUUAUUUAAUUAGGAGUUAAUUGGGAAGAUGUACUGGGUUUAAUUUUAAAUCCAUCUGAUAGUGGAGCCCUGAUAACAGAAAUCUGGUGUGUUGAGGAGUAGGCUGCCACACCUUAGGCAUUAUUGUUCCCUAUCAACUCUCACCAAGAGUACCAUUAUGUGAUCACAGCAGCUUCCAAGCUUCACCACUAAUUCUGUUCUCAACAGUUUUAAAGCGGUUACUUCCUCAACUACACUUUGGCAUAAAUAGAUUGAUGUAGUUCAGUAGAAAAAGAUAUUACAUAAAAAUAUCUGGGGCAGUAAGGCACCUAUUCACUUUAAAUUUACAUAAACUUUUUAAUUUUAAUAUAAAAGUAUAUUUUUCUUGGGUUUAAAUGAUAGAACAAUGUAUGAGGAAUUCAGAGUUGUUAGUCGUAUUGAACAAAAGUCAGUAGACGAAAACUUAUGGGGCGAAAUAUCACGAAAUUUCGUGUAAGUAAGAGUGUAAGGAAGUAACGAUUAUCAAUAAGGAAUAUCAAUUAAAGAAUAUAUUGCUAAAAUGAGUGGUUAUGCCCUGAGGCGGCGACCUGUCAGAAACUUUAGUGUGCCGGGCAUUUAAGUGUGCUUAACGACAUUUCGCCUGUUUUUGUGUUUUGAGUUCAAAUUCCGCCGAGGUCGACUUUGCUAUUUGUCAAUUUCUGAUAUAUUCAAUUUGACGUACAGAUUACAUAAUUUUUUUUUUUAAAUAAGCACUUUGAAACUUCCGAUAUUGGUACAAUGUGUCACGUAAAACAGUAAACUCUUAACGUUUUUGACAAAAUUUUGUAUUUUAGACGUUAUUUCGCCACAAGUUACAGUGAGACAAUGGAAAAAUUCGUGUUUGAUAAGAGCCAAUACACAGGACUCUCAGGUUUUGACUUAAUCCCUAACUUCUGCCGAUGAUAUAUAUUGCAUAUUAUAGAUAUAAGUGUAAAACAAUCUCAUCACGCAAUCAAACCAAUGAAAGAACCUCUACCUGGUCGCUUGACACGCUAAAAAUAGCAACCAACGCAUACCCCUACCCAGUAUUUUAUAAGGUAAAAUUCUAAAUUAUUAAUUGACACAAUAUUAAUUGUAAUAUAACAGCAAUGCCUGGAAAAAUCAAGGAUUACAUGGAAAAUUGCGAGCAGGAAAAUUAAUAUUCUUACGAUUAUAAACCUAGAAAUGUACAGGAGAAGUUAUUACACCUGUAAAAGUAUAGGACAAACUAUUAUUCAAGAAAAGUAAAGUUUAAAAAACGUUUUACUUAAAAUACUGCAGCUAGAAUUAAGAUUUGAAUAUUCAAAUAUAUUUAUUUAUAGUUUACAAAUAACACUAUACUUGUUUAAGUAGAAUUUGGCCAAUUUACUACAUUAAAUACACAAAAAAAGUGACUAAUUAGACAAACUUACAAAUUAGCUGAACUGUUUUGUACAAUAAAUUUAAGAGACGAGAAAAUUUAAAGAGUGAUAAAUUAGAAGAACUGGCACUCUUUGCUGCAAUUUAAAAAAGUUUCUUAAUCUUUAAUUUACUUGAAGUAAUAGUUUUUCCUACACUUUUACAGGUGUAAUUACUUGUCCUGUACUUUUGCAGGCUUAUAAUCUUAAGAACAUUACUUUCCAUGCUCGCAUUUUCCCAUGUAAUUAGAUAACGCUUUCCUUUCGUUUGCAAAGGUUAUAAUAAUAACUAUACCAGCUUUCAAGUGUAAUCAAACAACACCGUAAAAAUGCCAUUUCUCUUGUUCGUAAAAUCAUUCCGCUGUACCUUAUACGCUGUUGAUGAAACGAUGCUACAAUUUUAUGGCGUGGAUUGCACAAAUAUAUAUUCGUUUCUGCUGUAGGCACAAGACACGAAAUUUUGUGGGAAGAGGCUAGUCGAUUAGAUCUACGCCAGUACGCCAUUGGUACUUAAUUUACCGACCCCGAAAGGAUGAAACUCAAAGACAAACUCGGUGGAAUUUGAAAUUAGAACGCAAUGGCAAAAAGGGGGAAAGGAAACAGUGACUCUCGGUAGAAAAUUCAGUUUCCUCUGCAUUGCCUUUUCCUUGCUUAUUUUAUGAGACUAUUGGUUACGUUUUUGAAUAUUAUAGUUUCACCAUUUUGUUCACAAAUUCUGCACUUAUCACUUUCUGAUGCCCUAUCAAUUCUGUAUUUUAUGUAGUUUGUUCUUAGUGCUUGCUCUUGGGCAGCAAGGAUUAGAGCCUCCGUUUCCGGUUUUAUUUCACUUUUAGUCAACCACAGCCAUCUUUUUUCUGUCUGUCUUAUCGUCAACAUCCCUAUGAAAUUGACCAUACAUUUUUUUCUUUAUUCACCUAUUUUCAGUUUCAUUCGUUUUCAAUUGUUUGUAUUGUACUUUGUCUUUGCCACCUUUCAUCCUACACGAACCUGACGUUCUUACUUCUAAUAAUAGCGGUUCUGUGGCAUUUUUUUACAUUAUCUUCUGCCCUGAUGUUGUGUUCGCAUCCUCUUCCCUUCUUUUUCUUGGUACAUACUGUCUAUCUGUGUCACUUUUUGGGUGGAGUGACCCAUAUCUAGUUAGUAGCUUCCUUGUCUUUCUUUCUAAGCUGUUUAGUUCGUAUCCUGUCCACGCGAUUACCCCUGCUCCAUAUCUAAGGAUUCAAACCGCCCAGGUGUUGAUAGCUUUAUGUUAUUCCGUCCGUUAAUUUCGACUUAAAGGUCAGUAUCAUUAUUAUUAUUAUUAUUGCUGUUGUUGUUUUUGUUGUUGUUAUUGUUAUUAUCAUUGUUAUUGUUGUUGUUGUUCCUGUUAUUUAUUGUGUGAGAUGAAUGUCAUCAAAAUGACCCUGGAGUACAAAUAUCAUGACUACACGUUUGACAAGAGUACAUCAGGGAUAUGGAUCACAACCACAUUUGCACAGCAUAGUAAUCUCAUAUCAAGAUAAACAGCGCAUGACCUUGCAUCUGGGGACCAGGUAGAAUUGAGGUCAGGGGGCGCAAAAGAUCCCUGAAUAAAGUUUGCUUAAGUAUAUUGAACAAAACCAUCAUGUUUUCAGAAGUGAUUUAUUCAAACUCCAACAUUUUUUUUCUUCGAACGUGGCUAUAAUGUUCCUCCACCACUAUUACUCGAGUUCAGAGAUUCACAUAUCGUCAGCCACUAAGGGACAUACUCAGCUAGUUAAGGUCAACCAACUGACAAGUAAAUCAGGGUUAUUGAACAGAAUAUUUGCUGCCGCCCAUCUUUUAUACGAAGACAAAUAAUGUACACGAUAGCACUUCUGAUCAGGUAAGAUGAGAAACCAUAUAAGCCACUGUCUGGUACUGCAUCAGGGAAUAUUAUUAUUGUUGUUGUUGUUAUUAUUAUUAUUAUUAUUAUUAUUAUUAUUAUUAUUAUUAUUAUUAUUAUUAUUAUUAUUAUUAUUAUUAUUAUUAUUAUUAUGAUUUUUAUUAUUAUUAUUCUUGAGUGAGAGAGCAGUUCAUGCCAUCAAAGUGACACUGGGGUAAAAUAUACGAAGCCCAAUAUACCCAUCAUGACUACCCGUCUGAUAAGGGUAUACCAGGCACAUGCAUCACAACCAUAUGUGCGCGACAUUGUGAUCUCAUAUCAAGAAAAACAGCACAUGACCUUGCAGGUGGGGCCCAGUUAGAAUUUUCUUCAGGUCGAGUAGCCCAUCCUGCUCAAAAGGUCCAUGAAUAAGGGUUGCUUUAGGAUGUUGAAAGAAACACCCAUGUUUCCAGAGGUGAAUUAUUCAAAGUCCAAAGAAUCCCUCUCAACACAUAGCUAUGAUGCUCCCCCACUACUUCUGCUCGUGAUCAGAGAUGCACGUAUUGUCAGCCACUAAGGGACAUGCUCAACUGGUUAAGGUCAAACAACUGACAAGCAAAUCUGUGGUAUUGAGCAGAAUAUUUGCUGUAGCCCUUAUUAUUAUUAUUAUUAUUAUUAUUAUUAUUAUUAUUAUUAUUAUUAUUAUUAUUAUUAUUAUUAUUACUAUUACUAUUACUAUCAUUAUUAUUAUUAUUAUUAUUAUUAUUAUUAUUAUUAUUAUUAUUAUUAUUAUUAUUAUUAUUAUUAUUGUUAUCAUUAUUAUUAUUAUUAUUAUUAUUAUCAUCAUCAUCAUCAUCAUCAUCAUCAUCAUCAUCAUUAUUAUUAUUAUUCCUUCUUUCUUCAAAUUGUCUUCCGUUUCUCGCCGAGUGUUUUCCGUACACCCUAGGGCAGGGAACUUUAUUGUAUGCAUUCCCAGAUUAUACACGCAAAUUCACAGGUAAAAUAUGUAUUUAGGAAAAAUAAAGAAUAAAUAAAUUCAUGAAUGGAUGUUGUUUUCACAGCGAUAAUGCUCUUCUCAGUACAUGAGCCGUUCCAGUUAACACGAUUUGUACUUCCUGUAGGGAUGGUAAGCCUGGUAUCAGUACCUUCUUGUUUAUCAUUCCUAGAGAUCCUACAAUCACUGAUACUAUAGUCGCCUGAAGAUGCCACAUUUUUUUCAACUUCUAUUAGCAAGUAUUUAUAUUUACUCAUCUUGUGAAAUUCUUCUGCUGCUAUAUUGUGAUCGCAAGGAAUACUCAUGUCAAUUAAUAAACACAUCUUUUUUGUCUGUUCUUUUAUGACAAUAUCCGGUUUAUUAUCUUUUGUCGAUAUGUACGGGGAAGUCCCAUAGAAUCGAUACAUUUUCUCCCUCAGUCAUAGCUUCAGGAUGGGGUUUAUAUGAUUUGUCACCGGUUUGGAUUUUAUAAUGCCGACAUAUUGUCCAGUGUAAAUACUGGCCGAAUCUGCCAUGUCUUGCUUUAUAUCUGCAGGUGCUAAGACUCAACUCCCUGAGGUUAGGUGGCCUAUUGUUUCAAUCUCAUCGUUACAGAAUCGGCAUUUUGGGUCAGCUCCAUUUUUUAUCACAUUGGCUGGGCAGCUCCGGGUUAAUAAGCAUUGGUCUUGAGCAGCUAAUAUGAAACCCUCACUCUCUGCUCUUAGAUCUGAGCUUCGUAACCAUUGAUGCGUGUUUUUCUGGUCGACAUCAGCUUGUUUGCUACGGGCCACAUACUUGCCAUGCAGAAGUUUCUGUUCCCAUCUGCUAGCUAAUUUUGCAUGCGCUUUUGUCUUUGGUAUCAAUUUUAUUUUCUUUCCAGCAGCCAUCGGCGCAUUUCCUUCCGCCUGAUCAAUCUACUGAGUAUCUAAGAGAUCAGUAGCGAAUCUUUUGCUCUCUUUGAGAAUAGAAUGAAGUUUUGUCGAGUUUUCAGAAUAGAGUGAAUUUUUUUCGGUCUUUUUAUUAUUAUUAUUAUUAUUAUUAUUAUUAUUGAGGGAGAGAGCAGUGCAUGCCAUCAAAGUGACACGGGGGCAAAAUAUUCGAAGCCCAGUAUACCCAUAAUGGCCACCCGUCUUACAAAGGCACACCAGAUGCAUGCAUCACAACAAUAUGUGCGCGAAAUGGUGAUCCAAUAUCAAGAUAAACAGCACCUGACGUUGCAGGUGGGACAGAUUUAGAAUUUUAUCUUGGUCGAGUAGACCAUCCCGCUCAAAAGGUCCCUGAAUAAGGAUUGUUUAAGGAUGUUGAAAGAACCGCCCAUGUUUCCAAAGGUUAAUUAUCCAAAUCUCCAAGAAUUCCUUUCAACACACGGCUAUGAUACUCCCCCGCUACUACUGCUCGUGGUCAGAGAUGCACAUAUCGUCAGCCACUAAGAGACAUGGUCAACUGGUUAAGGUCAAACAACUAACAAGCAAAUCUGUGGUAUUGUGGACAAUAUUUGCUGUAGUCCAUCUUUUACACCAAGACAAAUUUGCUGUAGCCCAUCUAUUAUACCAAGACAAUUAUUACUAUUAUUAUUAUUAUUAUUAUUAUUAUUAUUAUUAUUAUUAUUAUUAUUAUUAUUAUUAUUAUUAUUAUUAUUAUUAUUAUUAUUAUUAUUAUUAUUAUUAUUAUUAUUUGCAAUGCCCAUAUCACACGGAUACUUAUGCUUCUGAAUAUCAUCAUGAAUAUCAUUACCACCAUCCAGUCAUCUCCCUUUUACGUACUAUUUGAUCAUUGGAGAAAACAUUUACUUAUAUAAUUGACUCGGUUUAUAUGAUGUGUGUGUGUGUGGUGGGAAGUGUAAUAUGUGAAGUUAGAAUGAGAUUAGCCUAAAGUUAAAAGAGCGUAAUAUUUCAUGCAUUCAAAGCAGGAUAUUCCUUUAUCAUCACACAACUGUGGUUUUUUUGAUCUUCCUUAGAAUCACUUCAGAGAUAUAUUUUUCUGAUUUUUGAUACGCAGCCACAAUUUAAUGUCAACAUAGAACAUAACUCACAUUUUGUGCUCACAUAUACGUGGAGAGAUUGUACGUGAAAAUAUAUAUAUAUAUAGAUAUAGAUAUAGAUAGUUAGAUAGAGAGAUAUACAUACAUACAAACACGCACACAUAAAUAUAUAUAUAUAUAUAUAUAUAUAUAUAUAUAUAUAUAUAUAUAUUGUUUGUACGUAAAUAUGAUAUAUACGAAAAAGGAAGUAUUUAGAAAUCUAUGCAGAACAGUUAUUAAAUCAACUUCACGUGUCGACCUGUGUUCAUGAAAAGUUGAAGUAUAAAUAGCUUCCAAAUUGCCAGUGUGUUUGCUAUGUGUGUAGUACGUACAGACUAUUGUAAAAAUCAUAGCAUUACACCUCUUUGUCUCUGUCUUCAUAUUCUUCCCCGUAUGGGUGAAUAUCUAUAGAGAGCAUAAACAUAUUUUAACUUUACUACCAGAAACCUUCCUUUCGUUUCAUUUCUUUUUCUUAUAAAUCCUUUCAAAUAAUGAUAAAUGACAGUUUGAGAUUUGAACUGGUGUAGCAGGUGUUUUAUUAGAAAUGUUUACAAGGAACUUUCUCGAAGAUCUUUGGAAGAAAGAAGUGCCAUAGUGCAAGAAAUUAUACUAAUAUUUUGCCACAGUUUAGAAAAUCUUUGCAGCAUACGUGAUGGAAAGUAAGAAUUUGAAAAUCACGAGUUUUUCGAGUUCUUGUCUGCUGUACUUGAAGCUGAUACAUUCCAAAUGUAAUCCAUACUCUCAGUUCAGAUGAUCCGGACCGAACAGUGAAUUAUUGCGGGUGUUAGUUCAUAAAAGCUGUAGAAGGUGCACACUUAUCAAUAAAGUUUAUUAGGAGCCAUGAUGCUGCAUUCAAAUAAAAUACGUCUAUUAACCAACACAAUUGCACUUGCUCGGGACGGGACAAUAUAUAUAUAUAUAUAUAUAUAUAUAUAUAUAUAUAUAUAUGAAGAAAAAGAAAAUGGUAAAUUAGAAGUGAAUAAUUGUUUCUUAUCAACAGAAAAUUAAUCACCUUUGCUUACAGCUGUUUCAAGUAAUACUUGGAAAAUUAUCUUCGGAGGGAAAAAAUAGGUAAAUGUUUGUGUAACACACGCACGAUUUUCACUAAGAAAAUAAAACUCGGGUGUUUUGCGUGGAAUCAUUGCAUACUUUUCUUCGUUGAAUGAACUCCUAUGACCUCCUAAUACGCUACAAAAUUCCUUUAUGCGGUCCGAGAAUGGGGUGGAUUGAGGUGGAAGCCUCGAAAAUUUCAUCCCCCACCCUUAUUGAUUUUUCCACCAGCACAAUUUUCACUAAGGAAAAAAAUAGGAUUUUUUUCGUUGAAACAAUUACCAUGACCUUCUAAUAUGCUGCAAAUCUCUUAUUUUGGUUCGGAAAAAUGAGGUGAGGCUUCAGAGGACUCCCAUCCCCGAAUCAUUAGAAUUUUUUUUCGUUGAAUGGAUUCCUGUGACCUAACACGCUACAUGACCUUUUGGUGAGUCCGACAAACUGGUUGGGGUGAGGUGGAAGCCUCGGAAAUUUUAUCCACUCCCAAAAUUUUACAGAAAUGAAAUUUCCAGAGUGAGAAUUACAUGGUUCGUUAUUAAAUAUAUACAUAAUAGAAAAUGUGACAUUUUAUAUUGUAUAUAUAUAUAUAUAUAUAUAUAUAUAUAUAUAUAUAUAUAUAUAUAUAAUAUAAUAGCGUGUAUGCGUAUAUAGACGGAUAAAAAUUUGCUGUCAAAUUAAUGGAUUAAUUCUCAACAAAACAUACUUUGCUGGACUAAAUAUCUUACGCUUUAUACCACCGUUUUAAGAAAAAAAAGCUCUUUCAAACGCAAACUAAUUUUCGUGCGUGUAUGUGGGGGAGCAAUAUGAACGAUGGCACAUUCUAUACUAUACAUAUAUACAUUUACACACACACACACGCACACACACACACAUAUACAAAUAAGAUAAGAUGAAAUUUUUUUUCAGAAAAACUUAAAGUGGCAGCAUAUUAAAAUACCAUUAUAGGUUAACAUUUUAUAAAUUUUAUAAGCAACUUACAAACAAGGGCAAAAUAGCAAUUAUCUCCAUGCCAAUAUGCUGAUAACUGACUUUAAAUCGUCAAUUUCCACAUUUCAACAUACAUUCACUAUAAAUACAUGUGCUGAAAUCGCGGAAAGCUAGCCAACAGAAUUUAUUUUUAAAGUUCGUUAUUUCUAUAUUGAAUCAAUUUCGGGAUUAAUCCUAUGGAUUCCUCUAAUCCUGAAAUUGAUUCAAUACAGAAAUAACGAACUUUAAAAAUAAAUUCUGUUGGCUAGCUUUCCUCAAUUUCAGCGCAACGUGUAUUUAUAGUGAAUGUAUAAUGAAAUGAGGAAAUUGACGAUUUAAAGUCUGAUAUCAGUAUAUUGACAUAGAGAUAAUUUUUCUUUUGCAUUGUUUAUAGGUUGUAUAUAUAUAUAUAUAUAUAUAUAUAUAUAUAUAUAUAUAUAUAUAUAUAUAUAUAUAUUAUUCUCCGUAGUUUUUUUGUGCUAAGCCACUUGGUGUUAAAUUGAUGGUAUUAUUAAAUUAAUAUCGAUUUUUCACCCUCAUUUAUAAUUAUAUAUAUAUAUAUAUAUAUAUAUAUAUAUAUACACAACUUAUAAACAAUUAAAUAAGUGUAGAAAUUGAUAUUAAUCGAUUAAAACCAGUCACUUAACAUAUUUUAAAAAUUCCGAGGAUUAAAAAUUGUGUUACAUACAAGAUUUAGAGGACUAACCACUAAACGUGGACAGUCUAUAUUCUAAACAUUGACGUCAAAUUUAUUUGACAUUACCACGAGGAAUGUGUUCUCAAGAAAAAUCUAAAAACAAGCAAGGCAAAUGAAAAUAUACGAAAUAAAAAACGAUUACCUAUGUACCAUUGGCUUCACUUGGUAAUGUUUACGUUAAUGGACACGCAAAGAUCUGCAAGAUCAUCAGCAUAGUCUGUCGUUUACAAAACACAAUUUCCAGAACUAGGCAAAGAACGCUCAACCGAAAUCCUGCAUGUAUAAUUUUCUACUACUUGCGCUUGGAAUAUCCAGAAUAGGGAAACGUAAUCUCUCUAGUAUUUGCUCUAUAUAUCAUAAGCUGUAAUACAACUAAGCAGAGUAGUAACUUAACCAGUAUAAUGGAAGCAGAGAGCAUGAUGAACAUCAGCAACGCUUAAGCUGUCUACAUACGGAUUUUUUGCUGGUCACCUGUUCUUAGUCACGUCAACAGAUUAAUGUUGUUGAGAGAGAUGACGUUUUCGUGUUAACAUAUGUUAUUUUAAGUUAAAAGAUAAAGCCGGGAGCAUUCGUGGACUUUUAUAGUAGUUUGUAUAUAUAAGAGAGCGCGGUGAGACAGGAAUAAGAGUGUCGUUGUUAUAACAUGAUUUACUAGCAGUAUGAAAACGCUUCUAUUAUAGGAAAUUGGGUUGAUGCUCGAGGUGCCUAUGAAACAAAUGAUUACUGAAUGGUUCUGACAUAAUGCUUGAUAUUUUUCUACAAUAAGUUCUUUUAUCUAUUGCGGUCAUUCUUUCCCGUCUUCUUGGAAGACCUUACAUUAGGUUUGAUCCGUCUCCAACUGAGAUCAUCACAUGUUUUUGUGCAUUUCAAGAAGUCGAAAUUUUGCUGGCGUCUAUGAAUCAAUGUUUGUUUCUCAUAAAAGAAAUAUUUCUUUCCGUGUGUUAACGAUAUCACCUGUCAAUUUGAGGAGCUCUGUUUUUUUUUUAUCAAAACUUAUACUACGCGGUUCAAGUUUUAGCGAAAAUUCAGCUAUAUAUUCAAUGAGAUUUGUAAAGUGUUAGUAAUACGUUCUUAAAUUAUCACCGCUUGUAUCAUCUGUAUGCUCUUAUUGUUCUGGUCUGAAUAACGUAGAGGAUUUAUAUUAAUGAUGUUGGUUAAUUGUAUAUACGUCAGCAUAAUGAGAAGAUAUUUACUUAUUUCGGAGCUUUAAAUUGAAUUUUCUGAAGAACAUAGGAGCUAAUGUUUCUUUAGCAGGUAUGUAUUUCGUAGUGCAUUUAAAUUUAUACGCCUACCUUCAAACCAUUAUCUUUUCUGACACAUAAUAUUCAGGAAUAAUUUGUCCAAAACGUUCAUCUAUUUUAAUCUCUAGUUCAACGAAAUGUUCUUCGCUGCUAAUUUGACAUUUUCUAGACUGACAAGUGAUUUGUUUGUUCUAGUCCUAUAUUUGGCCUUGUUUGUACUAUAAUUAAUUUGGUAACCUAUAGUUAUCUCUUCGAUUGUUUCACAUUUAAAUUGGCUUAUUUGAAUACAUUUACUUUCUUUUCAGUGAAAUAUGAAAAAUAUUAUAUGAAGUAAAUCGUUAAUACAAUAAUAAUUUUAGUUUUAAUUCUCACUAAAAAUAUUCGAAGCGAGAUACUUUCAUGUUAUUUAUAUUUUGAUAUUUUUCAACUAUUUUGCACAGUUUUCUACUGUUCUAAAUAUUUUCUAAUUCAUAUCGAUGUUUAUCGACCAUGUUUAUCCCAUGGACCACUUUCAUUCUUAUUUUACUUCAAUGGAUCCGAAGGGAUAAAGCUCGGAUAGGCGAGCUUUAGGGCUGGGACAACCUGCUGAAGGUUCCCAACAACACACUCUGCCGAGCAACUCAGGGUCACAUAAUCCGCGUACUAAAUAAUGAAUGGUAUGCGGAGUGUCGGCAACUUCAUCAAGAGCCAACGCAAUAAAGAGUGCAUCAGGAAGAUCACUGUGGGAGAAGUGAUCUUGUUGUCAGCAGCCAUGAGUGUUCCAUAGGCAAACCAGCUGAGUGAUCCAUAGGGGCGGUAAGGUAGUGUAACGAAGGAGCGCAAUACAUUUCGACCAAAAAGAUCGAUAGAAUAAAUAGCAAGCUUAAAAGAAUUAAGUGCCACGCUCGAUUUGUUCGUGUACAACCUUUCAGAUAAUGCCCAAUGACUGACCUUAAUAAAUAAUAAAAGAAUAUAGAUAUUCUUUCCUACUUUAGGCACAAGACUCAAAAUUUUGGGCAGGGGGCCAGUCGAUUAGAUAGAUCCCAGAACGCAACUGGUAAUUAAUUUAAUCGACCCCGUAAGGAUGAAAGACAAAGUCGAUGAUAGCGGAAUUUGAACUCAGAACGUAAAACAGACGAAAUACCACUAAACAUUUCGCCCGGCGUGCUAACUUUUCUGCCACCUCAUCGUCUUGAGGGAAGGUAGAUAUUGAACAUGACUAUAUCGUGUUGUGUCUGGAGAGAAUGAUUCUCUUUUAGUGCCUUAUAAUUUAACACACUGAUCGGUAAAGUUACCACUCGUUUACUUAUUUAUUUUUCUGAAAUUUUUGCUGCGUCUUGCAACCUUUUCAAUAGUUGUUGACUCUGUCCUUUAUCUCAGCUGCAUUCAUUUUGUUUGUUUGUAUCUUAAUUUUAAGAACGUUGUUUUCAAUUUCAGAUUCAGAAUAUAUUUUUCUGACAUUUUGAUAUGUAGCGAAUUUUGGUGAUAACUCUAAAGCAUGCAUUUCAUCUGUAUCCAGCUGUAAUGCACCGAAAUUCACGGCAUAUAAAAAGGUAAGAAAUAUUGAUUGUCUAUCUGAAAUUGAAAUAAAAACGUUCCUAAACUUAAGACACAAACAAACAAACAAAAAUGAACGCAGCUCGCAUAACGGACAGAGUCAACAAAUAUUGAAAAGUUUGCAACAUGUAACGAAAAUUUUAGGGAAAUUGAAUAAGUGAAUGAGUUUCAAAAUUUAUCAGAGAGUAUGUUUAAUUAUAAAUCACUAAAAGAAAACGACUCUCCCCAGGCACGACAGAGUAUCCUUCAACACACGAACUCACAUAAAGAAAAUUGCAAACCAAAUCCAAAAACGAAAUACAUAAACUUUCACCAAGCUAGCAAGAAGCUGAGAAACACCAUAUUCUGCUGUCUAAAAAUCAAAAUAGAUACCCGACAGCUCCACUUCAUUAAAACAUGUAUCUUCUCCAAUCUAUACACAAAAUCUGUUCACUUCUUGACACUUCUGAAUUUGGCGUGCCACAACGAUCAUUUCAAAUAUCCCUGGGUCCUUUCUGAAGCCACACUGAUCCUCUUGUAAAUGCUCGUUUUCCAUGUCCCGAGUGUAGCUUUUAAGGAGGAUUCUUGCAAGUAUGUUGCCUACUAUGGCAGGAGAUAAAUUGCUCAGUCAUUGUCACAGGAGUGUAUGUUUCAUUUUCCCUUGCAAAGAUGGUCUGGAAGAGAUUGGUGAACUUCUGUGUGCCAAGACUGGAUUCUUGCUUCGUAUACUUCAGCUGGACUGGGUCCAGAGUCUAGCGUUUUGACAUUUGAGAGAAGUUCAAUUGCUUUCUGGACUUCUGUUUCUGCCGGAGGCUCUGCCAGAGAAGUGUUGAUGUCAAUUUGGGUCAUGCGAGCAAUGGCCUCAGCAUUGGUAGGGGGAAGACAGUUCGGGACUUUGUUGAAGUGCUCUGACAAGCGUUGCAUUUUUAUGAGUUGGGAGAGUGGACCGAUCAUUGGUUUUGUUUUCUGCUUUCCUGAACCUGAUAUUGUGCCUAGUAGAUAGAGACUAUGUAGGCUUAAUACUUGUCAUUCAGCAGUCUUUGAAUUUCCUAAUCGUUGCUGUCGAACUACUCCAGGUGUCUACGUGUGUUCUAGCCCGGAUGAUUGUGUACAAUGUUGUACAAUGGUGUACACAUCUCUAUAUACUAUCCAGUUCUCUUUUACUCCGUUUGUAACAAUAUCAAAUUUACUUAACUUGCUGUCCAUGAUUCGGUGAGCUUCUGUUUCACAUUGUGAUGUUCAAAUUUAUUGAUGCUUUGUCACUUGUUUGCCGGCUUUCCUUAUUCUCGCUGUUUGGGCUGGAUGUGCAUGUUGCCCAGCAUUUUGCGCCAUCCAUGGCCUUUGUUACCCUGGCAUCAUGCCUCUCCCGUCUUUUGUCUUUUACAUAGUCGAUUCGAUGCCAAUGUUUGCUGCCUGGAUAUAUCCAGACGUCAUUUUGCGAUUGGAUAGACGAAAUACUGUGUUGGUUAGCAACAGGGCAUGCAUUACACAAGUUUUCAGGAGUAGAUGACCGUUGCUGAUGCUCUCGCUAACUCCGUUUCUCCCAAUGCCUCCCUCUCAUGUCUGGUAGUCUGCACCAAAUAUGAUUUUGAAGCCUCCGAGAUCGACUGUCCUCAUUAUGGUUUGGCCGGCCUGUGAAUACCGUUACCUGGAAUUUUAGCGCAGGUGCAUGCAGACCGCUUCGAGGGGCCACAGAUGAGAUUUAGCUGUCAAAUGAAGACCAAAUUGGACGAAGAGCACCACAUGUUUCCCUAUCAGGUGCGCUACACCAUUCAAAAUCCCAUACACUCCACGCUCCCCACACAUGCAUACAUGUGUACAUAAAAAUGUACAUACAUACAUAGACAGAAGUUGAGAGGUGAAGUUGAGAAAUAGACAGACAAGCAGACACAGACAGAUAGAUAGGAUAAACAGAUGACUUAGACAGAAAAGGGGGAAAAUGGAAUGCUUGUCUGGGAAUGUCUAUGAUAGAUAUUGAAAUUAAGAGAGCCAGAAAGAGAGGGAGUGAUAAAGAAUGAGAUAUGGAAACCGACAUAUUAAUACUGCAACAUAAAAGCACAUUCACACACAUGCACACACACACACACACACGCGCGCACACACAUUAUAUGCUCGGAACCGUAAGUGUAUGUGCUCAUGUGGUAUGUUGUAUGCAGUAUUUCGAAUACCGAAUGUAGAAUAAAUGUUUUAGUACAGAAAUAGAAAAAAAUGUUCAAACAUUUUACUAGAGAAACUUGUUUGGUAUCAAAAUACUCAUCAUGCUCUUUCAGUACUUAGAACAGCUAAUUAAUUAUGUAACAUUAUUAUAGAAGUAACUUAAAAUGCUCAAAUAAUUUGAGCAAGAAACAAUUUUAUUAAAAUACUCACCAAGAUAAUUUUAAAUACUCUUUACUCUUUUACUUGUUUCAGUCAUUUGACUGUGGCCAUGCGGGAGCACCGCCUUCAGUCGAGCAAAUCGUCCCCAGGACUUAUUCUCUGUAAACCUAGUACUUAUUCUAUCGCUCUCCUUUGCCGAUCUGCUAGGUUACGGGGACGUAACCACACCAGAAUCGGUUGUCAAGCGAUGCUGGGGGGACAAACACAGACAGGCACAUACAUACAUGCAUACAUAUACAUAUAUAUAUGUAUAUAUAUUUAUGUAUAUAUAUAUGUGUAUAUAUAUAUAUUCAUAUAUAUAUAUAUAUAUAUAUAUAUAUAUACAUACGACGAGCGUCUUCCCGUUCUCGUCUACCAAAUCCACUCACAAGGCUUUGGUCGACCCGAGGCUAUAGUAGAAGAUACUUGCCCAAGAUGCCACGCAUUGGUACUGAACACGGAACCGUGUGGAUGAUAAGCAAGCAACUUCCCACACAACCACUCCUGAAGAAUAAAAGUUCAUACUGUUACCAUAACACUACUGUAUACAUUGUAACUAUGGUAUGCGACGAACCAGCAUGUUACGUUGGGUUUUGAAGAACUUAAAGGUGCAUAAAACAUCUCCAGAAUCACUGAAAACAACGUGAAGACUAUUCUCGCUUCAUACUAGUCCAUCAACAUCAUGGGUAGGCCAAGGAUGAAAGACACUGAAGAUUUUUGAAACCAUAAUCCCCGAAAAACGUUAUCGAUAUUAUAACGCCAUAAUCACAAAACAUUAGAAAUUUAAAUUUUCUUUGACAAGACGAAAGAUGCUUAGAUAUCUUACAUACACUGUCAUUAUUAACGAGCAAAAGCUAUAUAGUCAACGGCCGAGCGCUAUCUAAUUAUCACACUCACGGAUAGGUAAUUUUUGGGAACAUCCAUGAAAAAUAUCCUAAUUCCACCUACGAAUCUCUACAUGGAUCUCUUAAUACAGAAAACAAACAAGUUUAUUUUCUGUAACACGUUACCCCCUCUUAAAUUUUGUCUCCUGUUUGUACUAUGUGUAAGUUUGAUCUAUUAAUAUAUGAAUAUUUAUACUUAAAUUCAUACUUAAAUAUUCAUUAUCUGAAAUGCCUAGCCUUUGCUUUAUUUCUAUUUACAUAUAUACUAACACAUGUACGAGGUAGUGCUAAAGUGUUCCCGCACUAGUUAUUUAAAAAAAACCCAACUUAUUUACCUAAGUUUUAACAUCAUCUUUUUCGAAAUAGUCUUCUUGCGCAACAGUACACAGAUCCCAGAAUUUCUACCACUUUUGGAGUCCGGCCUGGGAGUCCUUUGCCGUAAUCGAGUCGAGGACCUACGAUUUGCUCUUCAUCUUGACAACAAUGUUAAAACAGCGCGAAUUUCAGCUGCAUUUUCAUUUUGGAGAAGAUAUAAAUAUCCAGUUUUGUGGAUGAAAAAGAUGGAAUCUGCCGAAUAGGGCAGGUGUGGAAGCGAUGUUUUGCCGUUUUAUGUGAGAAGUCACGACUGGGAAGAGCUCUGUGUGAAGUUGCAUUUUCCUCGUGAAGGAUCCACUUCUUCGCGUUCCAAACAUCCGGUCGCUUUCGCUGAAAGUCCCCACUCAAACGCUUCAAAACAUCAUUGAUUGUUUUCCGAUGAUCCUCAUGCAGAAGGUAAUGAAUUUCACCCACAUUUCGGGGUGUGACAACCGUAGAAUGUCUUCCAGUUCGCUCAUCUUCUUCCAGAGAGAUUCCCCGAUUUUAAAGCGCCCGUUCCACUAAAAAUAUUGUGUAUGAUUCAUUGCCCUGACGCUGUAAGAUUGUCGAAGUAUAUGCAAUGUCUCUGUAGCAAACUCCUUAUGCUUAACGCAACGUUUCACUUAGUCUUUUUGUUCUAAUUCCCUGCCCAUGAUAAUUAUCACAAACUACAGCAUAGAUGUGAUCACAAAAACACAAAUUUCAAAAUUUGCGAUGUCACUCAGCAAACAACCUCAUAAACACAGCGUUGUCAUUCAGCACAUUAUUCAUGGAGGUCACCUCUAGUUCUCACUGCACAGGCAAUCGUGUGCUGUCAUCUGUUGGCGCGCUACAAAACUAGUCCAUGAACAUUUUGAUAUCACCUCGCAUAUAUAUGUGUGUGUGUGAUUAUGUAUGUGUGUGCAUGUUGUAUAUCAAACCCAAACUGUUUAAUUUGUUUAUCUGCAUAAUUGCCUCUGUAUCUCCUCACCUGGAUUACUUUUAUAAUCCAACUUUACUCCAUGGAAUUGGUCCCUCUUAAAGGUAUUGGAGUUUAUGUGCGAGUCAUUUGAGUGAAGAGUGACUUUAGUUGGGAAGUAAACUUCUUAUCACACUGCCACAGAGCUGUAAUGUUCCAUAUAAUUCCAUAUGUCUAGCAUUCUUUUCGGCAUUCAGUUUUGAAAUUAUAUUCCACUCCAAUCCUCUUGAUUUUUUUUCCACUUAGCAUUUUACAGACAGGGUCGUGAUAACAACUGAAUCUGCAUUUCUGUGCUACAGAACACCUACUAUACGUUGAACUUUCAGCAGGUUUCCAGUCACAUUCACAAAAUUUGAGAUUAGAACUGAGAUGUAAUAAAGUUAUGUGCGGAUGAUAACUACAAGGUUACAAUACUACUGGUUUUUCUCCCUUUUCGCG
rnacentral:lncRNA from 1 species